rnacentral:rRNA from 1 species
UACGGAAGGGGCUAGCGUUGUUCGGAAUUACUGGGCGUAAAGCGGGUGUAGGCGGAUUUCUAAGUUGGGGGUGAAAUCCCGGAGCUCAACUCUGGAACUGCCUUCGAUACUGGCAGUCUCGAGUGCGGGAUAGGUGCGUGGAAUUCCGAGUGUAGAGGUGAAAUUCGUAGAUAUUGGGAGGAACACCAGUGGCGAAGGCGGCUCACUGGUCUGUUACUGACGCUGUGACCCGAAAGCGUGGGGAGCAAACAGG